rnacentral:rRNA from 2 species
GAAUCUGCCUUCAGGACGGGGAUAACAGUUGGAAACGACUGCUAAGACCGGAUGUGCCGAGAGGUGAAAUAUUUAUAGCCUGAAGAUGAGCUCGCGUCCGAUUAGCUAGUUGGUAAGGUAAAAGCUUACCAAGGCGACGAUCGGUAGCUGGUCUGAGAGGACGAUCAGCCACACUGGGACUGAGACACGGCCCAGACUCCUACGGGAGGCAGCAGUGGGGAAUUUUCCGCAAUGGGCGAAAGCCUGACGGAGCAAGACCGCGUGGGGGAGGAAGGUUCUUGGAUUGUAAACCCCUUUUCUCAGGGAAGAAAAAAAUGACGGUACCUGAGGAAUCAGCAUCGGCUAACUCCGUGCCAGCAGCCGCGGUAAUACGGAGGAUGCAAGCGUUAUCCGGAAUAAUUGGGCGUAAAGCGUCCGUAGGUGGCUGUUCAAGUCUGCCGUUAAAGACCGGGGCUUAACCCUGGAAAGGCGGUGGAAACUGAACGGCUAGAGUGCAGUAGGGGUAGAGGGAAUUCCCAGUGUAGCGGUGAAAUGCGUAGAGAUUGGGAAGAACACCGGUGGCGAAAGCGCUCUGCUGGACUGCAACUGACACUGAGGGACGAAAGCUAGGGGAGCG